CAUUUGUGCUCAGUUGUAUUAAGUAUUUUCCUUCAAGGUAUAGUGGAGGAUUUUCCCGAAUUUUAGAAAAGAACCGCCCUCUCCACUUUUUGAAAAAA